CGACGGGGGGUGCUAGCGUUGUUCGGAAUUACUGGGCGUAAAGGGCGCGUAGGCGGCUCUGCGAGUCGGGCGUGAAAUCCCGGGGCUCAACCCCGGAACGGCGCUCGAUACUGCGGGGCUGGAGACCGGAAGAGGAGGGUGGAAUUCCCAGUGUAGAGGUGAAAUUCGUAGAUAUUGGGAGGAACACCGGUGGCGAAAGCGGCUCUCUGGUCCGGUCCUGACGCUGAGGCGCGAAAGCGUGGGGAGCAAACAGGAUUAGAAACCCUAGUAGUCC
rnacentral:rRNA from 1 species